AGUGCGGCGGGAAGCGGGCCCAGAAGGAGGCGCGAGAGGCCCGCGGCGCCGGCCUGAUGCCUGCAGCGCCCCAUGGCGGCGGGAGGCGGGCUGGCCGGCGCCGCGCGCAUGUGGUCCGGUCCAGGUGGGUCGGCGGCGCGGGGCAGGCGCUGGCCUCUCCAUUCACAGGUGGUGCUGGCGUUGCGAAGGGACGCACUCCAGGACGCACGGCGGGGAGGAGUGGCGUCAGGGAUCCGCGGAUGAGUCAAGUGGCAGGUUCUGCACGUCCCGGAGAGCGGGGGCGGCCGGGGCGCAGGCACUGGCGAGGGGGCGCAGCCCGGGGGGCUCCCGGGGAGAGACCCUGUCUCAAAUAAUAAUAAUAAUAAUAAUAAUAGCUUUAUUGAGAUAGAACUCGUGUUCCACAAAGUUCACCCUUUUCUUUUUUCUUUUUUUUUUUGGCACGGAGUCUCGCUCUGUCGCCCAGGCUGGAAUGCAGUGGCGCGACCUCGGCUUAUUGCAACCUCCACCUCCCAGGUUCAAGCGAUUCUCCUGCCUCAGUCUCCCGAGUAGCUGGGAUUACAGGCGCCCGCCACCAUGUCUGGCUAAUUUUUUUGUGUUUUUAGUAGAGACGGGGUUUCACCAUGUUGGCCAGGCUGGUCUCGAACUCCUGACCUCAGGUGGUCCGCCCGCCUUGGCCUCCCAAAGUGCUGGAAUUACUGCGCCCGCCCCGCCCCCACGCCUUUUUUUUUUUUUUUUUAAUGGAAACACUGAUGGGAACAAAACUCAAAAGACACAAAAGAUCAUACAGUUGCCAGGUGUGAUGCUCAUGCCUGUAAUCUCAGCACUUUGGGAGACCAAGGCAGGAGGAUCGGUUGAGUUCGAGACCAGCCUGAGCAACAUAGCAAGACCCCCAUCUCUACAAAAAAAUAAAAAUUAGCUGGGCAUGGUGGCAUGAACCUCUAAUCCCAGCCCUUUGGGAGGCCAAAGUGGGAGUCUGAGACCAGCCUGGGCAACAUAGUGAGACCCUAUCUCUACAAACAAAAAUCAAGAAUAAAUUAGCCAGGCAUGGUGGUGCAUGCCUACGGUCCCAGCUACUGAGGAGGCUGAGGUAGGAGGAUCUCUUCAGCUUGGGAGGUCAAGGCUGCAGUAAGCUAUGAUGGUGCCACUACGCUGCAGCCGGCCGACAGAGCGAGACCCUGUCUAAAAAAAAAUAAAAAUAAAAGGUGGGGGAAUCAUCCAGUCAAAGGGUCGAAGGUCUCCCCUGACCCCUGAGCAGCUGGUCCCCUCCCCUGGAGUCAGCCUGUGUUCUGAUUUGUGCCUGUGUUCCCGGCUUUUCCGUGUGCGUUCAGGCAGCCACCCGUGUGCCUCCCUCUGCCUUGUCACCCUGCAGGUAGCGCACGGCUCCUCUUUUCUGCACCUGGCUUUUGCCACUUAACCACAUCUUGGAGAUCUGUUCCCAGCAGGGCACUGACUCGAACGCUGCCCCGCCACCGAGGGAGUCCUGAGCACCGCCUGCCCGGUGUGUCCCAUCUCCUCAUCCAGGGACCGCAAGGCAGAGCUGGUCUCCCUGUGCCCCUGAAGUUGGGUGUGGCCAUUUGACUGUGGCCUCAGUGAGGCUCAUGGCCCCAGGCUGCAGCCUGAGAACUGCUGUGUGACCCGCCACGGUCUCUUUCCACUCCUGUGGGCACCAGCUGGGUCCCCGCAGGACCCCAAGGGCUCCAGGGCCCUGCACCCUGCGCUGUGUGGGCAGCGAGUCCGGAAGGAGACGUCCGUGGUGCCCAUGGGAGGAGAGGCCGGUCAGGCGCGGAUCCCUGCCGGACGCCAGGCGGGGGCUGUGCGGCUUCAUCCCUCUACAGUUUCUCAAUCUGUCCCUCAGGGUAACUCUCUAAGGGGAGGGGAGAUCCGAUGGGGUAAUGCUUCCUCCUCCUGUCACCUGAAUGGGAGCACCCUGCACAGAGCUUCCUCUGCCCCGCCACCUGCCUCUCCUCAUCCUCUGACCAGCAUCACCGCCCCUGCAUGCGGGGCCUGUGCCUUCGGCAAAUGCCCUCACCCGGGCCCAGGCCAGAACCUCAGGGUCGACCUUGAGAACAACUACCUCUUUGCCUUCCUCCUCCCUCUCCCCGCCUCUUUUUGAAAACAGCUUUUUUGAGUUAUGAUUGACGUCUGAUAAACUGCAGGUGUGUAAAGGGUGUAAAGGGUGCACACUGAUGCGUGUUGACAUUCACACGUACCUGUGGCCCCAUCCCCCAUCCCUUUCAACCCUGUAACGAACAUUCCCAAACCACCCCUGACUUGUCCCCAGGCCGCCAGGGCGCCACUUUCUGUCCCUGGAGAGGCGCUGUUUGCUCUUCUGGAGUCUGUGUGAAUGAAAGCACACAGUGCACGCUCCCUGGCCAGCUGCUCGGCGUCAUUAUUCUUUUUUUUUUUUUGAGAUGGAAUCUCGUUCUGUCACCCAGGCUGGAGUGCAGUGGCGCGAUCUCCGUUCACUGCAACCUCUGCCUCCUGGGUUCACGCCAUUCUCCUGCCUCAGCCUCCCGAGUAGCUGGGACUACAGGCGCUGGCCACCACGCCCGGCUAAUUUUUUUUUUUUUUUGUAUUUUUAGUAGAGGCGGGAUUUCACCGUGUUAGCCACAACGGUCUUGAUCUCCUGACCUCGUGAUCCUCCCGCCUCGGCUUCCCAAAGUGCUGGGAUUACAGGCGUGAGCCACCGCGCCCGGCCUGGCAUCAUUAUUCUGAGACUUACCCCAGCGUUGCAGGCAUCGGUGGCUUCUGUCAGCUGCUGAGUAGCACCCGCCAGAUGGAUUCCAGAUUCCAAGGAUGGCUUCUCCACUGAUGGCCCGGGCAGGACCACAGGCGUUCCGUCAUCCUGGGGGGGUGUGCAGGGUCUGCCCUGUGCUCUUCAUCGGCGUCUCCCUGAUGAGUAAUGAUGAGCGUUUUCUCAUCUUUUUUUGUCAUCCGUGUAUCUGCAUUAUUGGUGUCUGUUCAAAUUGUUUGCUCACUUUUUGAAAAUAUUUUUUAUGGCCAGGCGCGAUGGCUCACGCCUGUAAUCCCAGCACUUUGGGAAGCCGAGGCGGGUGGAUCACCUGAGGUCAGGAGUUCAAGACCAGCCUGCCCAACAUGGUGGAACCCGGUCUCUACAAAAAUACAAAAAUUAGCCGGGCAUGGUAGCAGACACCUGUAAUCCAGCUACUUGGGAGGCUGAGGCAGGAGAAUCACUUGAACGUGGGAGGCGGAGGUUGCAGUGAACCAAGAUCAUGCCAUUGCCCUCCAGCCUGGGCGACAAGAGUGAGACUCUGUCUCAAAAAAAAAAAAAUUAUUAGAAAUUUAAUUUUUAGGCCGGGUGCCGUGGCUUUUAAUCCCAGCACUUUGGGAGGCUGAGGCAGGCGGAUCACCUGAGAUCAGGAGUUUGAGACCAGCUUGGCCAACAUAGUAAACCCCAUGUCUACUAAAAAUACAAAAAUUAGCCAGGCGUGGUGGCGGGUGCCUUUAGUCCCAGCUACUUGGGAGGCUGAGGCAGGAGAAUCACUUGAACCCAGGAGGUGGAGGUGGCAGUGAGCCAAGAUCGUACCACUGCACUCCAGUCUGGCCAACAGAGCGAGAUUCCAUCUCAAAAAAAACAAAAAAACAAAAAGAUAUAAUCAAAUGUUCCUCCCCUGCUCAGAAUUCUCCAAAGACUCUGCUUAUCACCCGAACAGUAAAAUGAACACCUGUGGUUGUUUCCCACAGCAGCUCUUAACAAAGCACCACAGACUCGGUGGCUUAAAGCCACAGAAAUGUCCUCUCUUGCAGUUCUGGAGCCCAGAAGUCUGAAGUCAAAGUGUGGGCAGGGCUGACUCCCUCGGAGGGCUCUAGGGGAGGACGCUGCCUACCUCGACCAGCUCCUGGGGACUCCAGGGGUCCUCGGCUCGUGGCCACAUCCCUCCAGCCUCUGCCUCUGACUCCAUGUGGCCGUCUUCUCUCUGUGUCUCUGUGCCUCGUGAGGACAUCUGUUAAGGGAUUUAGGGCCCACCCAGAUCAAGGAUGAUCUCAUCUCAAGAUCUUUACCUUCAUUAGGCCUGUGCGGUGGCUCACGCCUGUCAUCCCAGCACUUGGGGAGGUUGAGGCGGGCGGAUUGCUUGAGGUCAGGAGUUCGAGACCAGCCUGGCCAACAUGGCGAAACCUUGCCUUUACUAAAAAUAGAAAAAAAUUAUCCAAGGCCGGGCGCAGUGGCUCACACCUGUAAUCCCAGCACUUUGGGAGGCUGAGGCGGGCGGAUCACGAGGUCAGGAGAUCGAGACCAUCCUGGAUAACACAGUGAAACCCCAUCUCUACUAAAAAUACAAAAAAAUAGCCGGGCGUGGUGGCAGGUGCCUGUAGUCCCAGCUACUCCGGAGGCUGAGGCACGAGAAUCACUUGAACCUGAGAGAUGGAGGCUGCAGCGAGCCAAGAUCGCACCAUUGCACUCCAGCCUAGGCGACAGAGCAAGACUCCAUCUCAAAAAAAAUAAAAUAAAAAAAUAAGUUUAUAUCUGCAAAGACCUUGUUUGCAAAUAAGCUCCCAUCCUGUGGCUCCGGUGGACGUGGGCUAUGGGGCCACUGUUCGCCCCGUCCCAGCCCCACGCCGAGGACUGCCGGGUCCUGCAGGGUCUACAUCUCCGUCUCACCUCCCCCGAUGCCGCCCCACCCCGCACCUCAGCCUUCUCACUGUUUCCGGAAGGUGCCUGCCUUUCCAUGCGCUGUUUCCUGUGCCCAGAAACCCCCCAGCUGGUCCUGGGACUCCCUGUCCACCCCAUUCUGGUCUUUGCUCAAGUGGCCUCCUUCUCUGGUCAGUCACUGAUGCCCCAGUCCCCUGCACCUGGAUGUCACCUUCAUGUCUUUUUUUUUUUUUUUUUUUUUUGAGACGGAGUCUCACUCUGCCACCCAGGCUGGAGUGCAGUGGUUCAAUCUCAGACCACUGCAACCUCCGCCUCUGGGGUUCAAGCGAUUCUCCUGCCUCAGCCUCCCAAGUAGCUGGGAUUACAGGCACCUGCCACCACGCCUGGCUUUUUUUUUUUUUUUUCUGAGAGUCUUGCUCUGUCGCCCAGGCUGGAGUGCAGUGGUGUGAUCUCUGCCCAUUGCAACCUCCACCUCCUGGGUUCAAGCAAUUCUGCCUCAGCCCCCAUCAGGAGCUGGGAUUGCAGGCGCCUGCCACCAUGCCCAGCUAAUUUUUGUAUUUUUAGUAGACAUGGGGUUUCACCAUGCUGGCCAGGCUGGUCUCAAACCCCUGACCUCAGGUGAUCUGCCUGCCUCGGCCUCCCAAAGUGCUGGGAUUACAGGCGUGAGCCACCACGUUCAGCCACAUCCAGCUAAUUUUUAUAUUUUUAGUAGAGAUGGGGUUUUGCCAUGUUGGCCAGGCUGGUCUUGAACUCUUGACCUCCGGUGAUCCACCCACCUCGACCUCCCAAAGUGCUGGGAUUAUAGGCAUGAGCCACCGCGCCUGGCCCUUCCUUCAUGUCUUUUAAAAAAAUGUUUUAGAAACGGGGUCUUGCUCUGUUACCCAGCUGGAAUGCAGUGGUGUGAUCAUGGUUUACUGCAGCCUCAAAUUCCUGGGCUCAAGCGAUCCUCCUGCCUCAGCCUCCCAAGUAGCUGGGACCACAGGUGCACGCCCACCCCUGGCUGGUCUUUUCCCUGCCUUCCUGCCUGACAGAGCCACCAGCAGAGCCUGAUCUGCCCAGUCCCCUGCUGGGUCCAGGGUGGCUCGCCAUGUUCAGUGAGAGCCCGUGGACAGGUAAGUGAUAACUGUGAAUUCUCUGGGGGGAGGAAGCCAGUGCUAAAAGCCUAGGCUGUUAGGAGAGCUGGGCCUCAGCCUGGAGGGACGCCGUCGGGCAGGCAAGCCCAAGCCUCUGACUCCCACCAUCCCGGGGUCCUCUUUGCUGUGACCCCAGAGUGCAGUGAGUACCAAAGGUGACCCUGUCCUAGCAGGACCCAACCUCGUGACCUGAUCAGUGUGGCAGGUUUGGGCUCCA
rnacentral:lncRNA from 1 species